UUCAUAUUGGGUAAGUUGUAUAUAAACAGUCACAAGCUCUGCCCGUCAGUAUUCAAGGAGCCGGCAACAUGUGGAAGUGUGCAGUACUACUGUCUGUCUGCUGCCUGGGCUUGGCUGCAGCUCAGGGACUGUCUGACCACGUUGAUACACAGCCUUCGCAUCGUCCACCAUGUGGCAAAAACGAAUAUUUCGAAAACUGUACCUUUGAAUGUCCACCGGAGAAGACUUGUGCAAAUCGUUUACUCCAUGUGUAUUGUGCUGAUGUUGAAAUGCCUUGUAUCCCCCAAUGUGUAUGUAAAGCGGGUUACUACAGAAACGUUGCAGGUGGUGAAUGCAUCCCAGAAGCUGAAUGUGAUUGUGGACCAAAUGAAACCUUUAACGAAUGUGUAGAUGAAUGCCCCCCAGAAAAGACCUGUGACACUCGUCAAGUAUAUGUCGGUUGUUUAGCAAUCGUAAGACCCUGUUACCCGAAAUGUGUAUGUAAAGAGGGUUACUACAGGAAGACUGAAGGUGGGGAGUGUAUAUCAGACGAAGAAUGUGGACCGGCUUGUGGUGAAAACGAGGAGUAUACGGAGUGCGCAAACCCUUGUAUAGACGACAGCUGCGCUGCAAUGGGGAGUCUGAAACCCAACUGUACUGAGCCCUGUGUACCGGGAUGUGUUUGCAAAGAAGGGUUCUUUAGACUGUACGAGUACUGGCCGUGUUUCCCUAGAUGUUAUUGUCAUGAGAUGCGAGAUGCACCCGAAUGUAGAAGCUAGUUAAAUUAAGCCUGUCAGUAUUGGAGAUAUUUAUUAGUUAUAUUGUUUGUUAGUUCUAAUGAUGUUAAGACAAAUAAAUAUAGAACUGUUAAUUAGUUUGAAAUAUUAAAUGACUUCCUACUGGUUUUCUUGUUUUAUUUACCAAUUACUUUGCCAUUACAUAAAAGUCUAUAUCUUGACUACAUAAAUAGGAUCAUCUAAAUCUCUACAACUAAUAACUUAACAAACAUCAACAAGAAGCAAAUCAAAACAACUUGACUUUUUGCAAAAAUGACGUCAUAUUAUAAAUCACGUUGAGCUGUACUUCAACUUGCUCUAGUGUGCUAGAUCAAGUUUUAUAUUGAUAAAUAUAAACAGACACAAGUCGGGAACGUCAAUACUGGAGGAGCCGGCAACAUGUGGAGGUGUGCAGUACUGCUGUCUGUCUGUUGUGUUGGACUAGCUGUGACUAGGGGAUUAUUGGACGACGUUCAUUCAGAUUCAGAUCAAAAUAUGGACUGUGGGCUAAACGAAUACUUUGAACGAUGCUUUAACGAUUGUGCUCCUGAACAGACCUGUGAUACUCGUAAAAUAGAACAAUUGUGUCCAGCUGUUGUGAGGCCUUGUGUGUCAAAAUGUAUAUGUAAAGAGGGUUACUAUAGAAAGAAUACUGGUGGUGAAUGUAUACCAGAAGAAGAGUGUGGACCAGCUUGUCGUGAAGGCGAAGUAUAUAAGGAGUGCAGAGACCCUUGUGUGAACGACAGCUGCGAAGCAAUGGGCAGUCUGAAACCGAACUGCACCAGCCCUGUGCCUUGUGAACCGGGAUGUGUGUGCGCAGAAGGAUCCUAUAGGCUCUAUGAAUAUCUUCCAUGUGUUCCAAAAUGCUAUUGUCAUAAUUUAAAAGAUUCAUCUGAAUGUAAAAAUUAGAUUAAAUGUAUGUACUCGUA